CCUGACGUAAUUUCUCAGUGUCUGCUUGAGACAUAUUCAUGGUAUUCUGUGUAUCCGUUACUCCUGUAGUGGGUGCUGGGCCAGGACCUUGUGAAACUUUGGGGAACUGCUGUCCUUGAGAACUCAUUGUAGAAUUUGCAGACGCACUGAAGUUGCCCUCAGCUCCAGGCCGUGACUGCUCAGCAGCAUCAUGGGCUAGCUGACCAGUUCCAAAAGAUUCUGGCUGAGGUCUUGGAGUCAUCGGUGGUUGAUCGUAAAGAUCGCGUGCCGGAGCAGAAGGACCAUGGUUAAAUGAAUCUGUUAUUGCAGGUCCUGCUGGUCUGGGAGUUUGAGAACAUGGGUCUGAUGGCCUGACAAAAGUGCCCUGCAACCUGUUCUGUGAUGUCUGCAGGAAAGGAUCUCUAUUUGGUAUUAGUCCCGGUCUUGUCAUUGCAGGUCUGUUAAAACUCUCUGGUAUUCCUGGCCUUGGAGUUGCUGGUUGCUGAGAAUAAGGAUCAUUCAGAACUGGCCUUGGUGUUCCAGGAGGUUGAGCGUAUGGAUCAGAAUGUCUCUGAUUUGUUGGAGACUGAGCAAACAAAUCUGCUGGCUGUGCAGGUCUUGGUGUGGGUGGUUGCUGCAUAUAUGGAUCAACUGCGGCGGGCCGAGGAGUUCCUGGAGGUUGGGCAUAAGGAUCAGCAACUGGCCGAGGAGUACCUGGAGGCUGGGAAUAAGGGUCCUGAGAAGCUGGCCUUGAAAUGGGUCCAGACUGAGGGAAAGACUCACUCUGUUGCCGCACGAUCCGGGGUGGAUGGGCAAAAGAUUCCUUUAUUGCUGGAUGGGGAGUAAGGGGAGGCUGGCUGUAUGGAUCAUUAGGCUGAUUAUGGGAAAAGUUAUCCACCGGCCUCGGUGUCAGUGCAGGCCUUUCAUAUGGAUCAACAGCAACGCGCCUUGGUGUAGCUGGCAUUGAUGCAUAGGGAUCUUGUGGGGACUGAGGUGGGCGCAUGGGAGUUUUAAAGUGUCCAGGGCUCCCAUCAACAGGAGCAGGAGUAGGAGUCAAUGGUGGCCGUGCAUAUGCAUCAGCAGAAGUUACUCUCUGUCUCUGAAAUGCAUCAGUUCUAGGAGCUGGCUUUGUGAACGGAUCACUGCUUCCAGCUGCUAAAGGAACCUUCCCUGACUGAUCCAUAACCAUGGGUGAUCUUGGGACCCCCAAUGGUUUGGAGAACUGAUCUGAGGUCAUAACAGGCCUGGGUGUGUCUGGUGGCUUUGCAUAGGGAUCACUGCUACUUGGAGAUGAAGAACAUGAAUCCCUGACUGGUGAAGGCCUGCUUCCUGAUGGUUCAGUUACCUGAACGGGCCUGGAUAUAGAUGACUGUGGUGCACAGUUUUCAAGUGGUGGCUGCCUGGUAAAAAAAAGGCUUAAACUCUUCCCCUCCAAAGAAACAAGAAGCGGUAACACAGAUGAGAGCAACAGUGCAGCAGUAAUAUUCG
rnacentral:lncRNA from 1 species